CUGUAUUCACUUGGUAGUCCAGGCUGGUCUCGAACUCACAGAGAUCCACCUGCCUCUGCCUCCCGAGUGCUGGGAU
rnacentral:miRNA from 1 species